rnacentral:lncRNA from 1 species
UCUUCUCUAGUUUCUCCUUUCCCUAUUUUCUUUUAUUCCCGUCUUCUUGUUUUUUUACCUUCUUUUAUAUUUUUUCUUAUUAUCAAUUUGUUUUACUUUUCUCUUGUUUUUACUCUUUGUUUUGCAUUUACUUUCAGUUAUUCUAUUUCGUUUUUAUUAAUAUUUUUGAUUGAUGACAAAUGGGGAAAAAUAAAUAUGAUUUUGAUAUAUCUUGUAGUCCUAAUAAAACCCAAACAAUGCUAAAA